CAGUCGCCGCGGUAAUACGAAGGGUGCAAGCGUUAAUCGGAAUUACUGGGCGUAAAGCGUGCGUAGGCGGUUUGUUAAGUCUGCUGUGAAAUCCCCGGGCUCAACCUGGGAAUGGCAGUGGAUACUGGCAAGCUAGAGUGUGUCAGAGGAUGGUGGAAUUCCCGGUGUAGCGGUGAAAUGCGUAGAGAUCGGGAGGAACAUCAGUGGCGAAGGCGGCCAUCUGGGACAACACUGACGCUGAGGCACGAAAGCGUGGGGAGCAAACAGGAUUAGAUACCCCAGUAGUCCCUGUCUCUUAUAC
rnacentral:rRNA from 1 species